CUUUACUUGGGAAUAGAGAGGGGAAACAUAGCAUGUCACAAGAGCGAGGUGAGGUUUGGAACUCUACUGCGAGAGGGACGCCUCGCGAGCCGGGCUUUUAGAGAUGAGGCCUUUUGGCGAAGCCAAGUCAAUUUCGGGCCACCAAACCCUGCAACUGAUGAAAAGGCCCUAUGGGAUGGAGAU